rnacentral:rRNA from 1 species
UGAGAUUUAACGAAAGUGGCGAACGGGUGAGUAACACGUGAGCAACCUGCCUUACACAGGGGGAUAGCCAUUGGAAACGGUGAUUAAUACCCCAUAAGACCACAAUACCGCAUGGUAAAAGGGUAAAAGGGAUACCGGUGUAAGAUGGGCUCGCGUCUGAUUAGCUAGUUGGUGGGGUAAAGGCCUACCAAGGCGACGAUCAGUAGCCGGUCUGAGAGGAUGAACGGCCACAUUGGAACUGAGACACGGUCCAAACUCCUACGGGAGGCAGCAGUA